UACGUAGGGACCGAGCGUUGUCCGGAUUCAUUGGGCGUAAAGAGCUCGUAGGCGGCUGUUCAAGUCGAACGUGAAAACUCGGAGCUCAACUCCGAGCCUGCCGUUCGAUACUGGACGGCUAGAGUCUGGUAGGGGGAUCUGGGAAUUCCUGGUGUAGCGGUGGAAUGCGCAGAUAUCAGGAGGAACACCGGUGGCGAAGGCGGGUCUCUGGGCCGAUACUGACGCUGAGGAGCGAAAGCGUGGGGAGCAAACAGG
rnacentral:rRNA from 1 species